AGGAGCUGAAUGAUCAAUGUAGCAGUCACCAUAGACUUUAAAAGAAAUGACAUGAUGGUCACUCAUCAUGAUCCCAUCUGUUAUCUUAGGUAGUCAUUGGUGGACUGGAGAAGUAGCAGUAACAUUUGUACUUUAUGCAGAUAUCACACCUGAUAUAACAUGGGAGUCACGGGCGUUUGAACCAUGUUGUUGGGAGACUGGUGUUAUUUAACUAUAUUGUGGUAGCUGAUACCCAUUCUUAUUUGAUCCCUUUAAGGUGAAGACUUUCUCCAGCAGACUAACUACAGCCCAGACUCCUCUCUGAACUCCAGCAUAAUGUAUCUUAGCUUGAAGUUCCUAUAGGUUAGUUUAAACUCAAAAUGUCCAAAACAGAACAGAGGUGGACUAGCCAGCCCUUUACAGAAGGGUCUCAUGUACCUUUUCAUCUAAAGGCCAGGGAUCGAACCCGCAACCUCAUGGUUCCUAGUCAGAUUUGUUUCCAUUGAGCCACAAUGGGAACUCCCAGGACAUCUGCCUUUAAAUAAAUCUUUGAACUAAGGAAAGAACUUUCAUAAUCCUAAUUCUGACAGCGCUGUGAUUAUCUAUAUUCUCAUCCAUCCUAUGGCAGGGGCCCAUUUCCUCCUACCCCUUUCAGUGGGCCAAAAAAAGAUUCUUAAGCUUUAUUUAAUAUUUCCUCAUAUUAUCAUGAGUAUUAUUAAAUCAGACUCCUGUCUUUUGUCCUGAAGAAAAACAAUUACAUUAUUUUAUUAUAGCUUUCUUUUUAUAAACGAAUAUAAGUGUUAUGACUUUUUCUGAAUCUAGUUCUAAUUCCCAGUGUUCUUUGCUUUUGCAAUCUUGGUUAUGUAGUCAGACUUAGGAUCUGCACAUGAUGGAGGACAAGGAUGCCUUUAUUAAGAGCCAUAAUAGGCCUUCUCCGUUGCGUGGACACAACAUUUUUCAGAGUAACAGCCUGGUGCAGUGAGGGUAUUUACUUUGGGGACAAAAGGACCCAAAUUUGGAUUCUCAUAUUGCAGCUUGCUGACAAAGUGAUCUUAAGCAAGACAUUUUAUUUAUAUAUUUAUUUUUUCUAUUUCUUGGGCCGCUCCUACGGCAUAUGGAGGUUCCCAGGCUAGGGGUCGAAUCGGAGCUGUAGCUGCCAGCCUACGCCACAGCCACAGCAACGCGGGCUCUGAGCCGCGUCUGCAACCUACACCACAGCUCAUGGCAACGCCGGAUUGUUAACCCACUGAGCAGGGGCAGGGACCGAACCCACAACGUCAUGGUUCCUAGUCGGAUUCGUUUAACCACUGCACCACGAUGGGAACUCCAAGCAAGACAUUUUACUAGAUUUGUUUUCUUACCUAUCAAGUGAGAUUAAUAAGAUAUUUUAAAUUUUUUCUUUUUUGGCUGCAUCUACGGUAUAUGGAAGUUCCUGGGCCAGGGAUCAAAUCGGCGACCUCUGCCACAGCUGUGGCAAUGCCGGAUCCUUAACCCACUGUCCCCUAUGCCAGGCUGGGGAUCCAACCAGUGCAGCUACAGAGACAAUGCUGGAUCAUUAACCCACUGCCCCACAGUGGGAACUCCUCAAGUGAGAUUAUUAAUACAAGCUCUGCACAUUCUUGGAGGCUUGUGGUAAGGUAAAGCGAUGAUCAAAUAUGAUAGUGUAUGAAAACACUCCAUAAAUUGAGGAGCACUGUAUGAAUAUAAGUUCUUUUUUUCUACUUGCUUCUCUUAUUCUGUGUGUACCAUAAGCAUUAUGCACAAAAAUCACUAUCUCCAUUUCUUUGCAGUUAACCAUUAUCCUAAAUGCAAAUUAGCAACUUGAAGCCCAAGUACAAUCAGUUCAACUGCUUUGUUCAAAUUGAACUACAUUUUGGGAGGGGGGGUGCCCUGUGUUGUUUUUUUUCAGACCCGUGUGCCAGGCUAGAUGACGUGGUCCCCAUGUGAGGCUGAAUUCUGUGCCUGGACUUUCAUGUGCCCCCAGGGCUCACCCUCCACCUCUCUCCUCCCUGCUCCCUCAGUGCCUGACUUGCUGUCCUUCCUGUCUGUUCUCAAAUCCAGGUUUCUCACCUGGCUGCAGUUGAGAACUUAGGACAGUUCUGUUUCCUAAGCUGAGGGAUAGUGGCCCCCUCUGCUCCCAGUCCAGAUCCCCAUCCAUCUGUGGAUGGAGGUCAGAGGUGAAGGACCUUGAACCUGCCGCCUCUGCAGACCCUGCAGCCAAAGGUACCUCUAGAAAUUCCUGGCAUCAGGGAAGAUUUCACCGAACAUUUGGGAGUUUUGUAUCAUUAUGUAGCUUCACCUUUAAAGCUCUGCAAUCCAGCAGUUUCCCUCAGGUUCGUGUAUGAUAUUUCCACUCUGCUUAAAACACUCCUAGGUGUUUCGUCUGUUUCCUACCAAAACAGAGAAUAACAUUAUGUAUUAUUGGGCCAGUUUUCCAAAGCCUGGCCAAUUUCCUAUUAAUCUAUUUUAGACACAGUCCAACAUAAAACAGAUUUUGAUAAUUUAUGUAAUGGUCUUUUUUUGGUACCUCAACUGAAGUAAUAUCAUAGAGAAAUUCAGGAAUUAAAAAAAAAAACACUUAAUUUUGACAUAUAGAGGAAUUGUGGCCUUCACUAGUUAUUAUUCUGUAAUAUUUUUUAUGUGACAAAAUUGGUCUGGUUUUGAAGCUCUGAUAUCUCAAAUGAUCAUUUCAUUUGGACACUAUAUUGAAAUUCUUGUAGCAAGUGAUAAUCCAACUCUAGAGGAAAAGCAAAUGUAUUGGUUCACGGUAAUGACAAGUUCAGGCAUGGCUGGAUCAGAGUGAAAGUGAAAUCCCAAGGACAGCCAUGGGAAUUGUUGUUUUCUGUGCUGUCUCCUUUCUCAGACAGGCACUUCUCUUAGAAGGAAAAGUUCACACAAAAGUCCUUAAUUGAGUCUUAUUUGUCUGGCUUGGAUCACAUGCUGUAUUUGAAACAGUUAUGGUCAGAGAGGUGGACGGAGUUUACUGAUUGGCUAGGGCUGGGUCCUGUGAACUGACAGAGGAGGAAAUCCUGGUACUGUUACUCAGCAAAGGGGAUAUUAACUUGGACUGGCAGAAGCAUCAGAUGUCCACUUUAGAUGUCAUUUCAAUAAUAUUUUUAGGCAUCUUAAUUAGGGCCUGGGUCCUAUACAGAUCAGCUCUAUUCUGCCAGCCUCCCUGUACCUGAGGUGAUUGUUUUCUAGGGACCUGCAGAAGAGGGGAAGAUUAAACUGAAACCUUUUGGUCAAUACUUGUUAAAUAAUUCAGGUAGUCUGCAAAGUUGUGGAGCUACAACUAGAGCAGGCGCUGUUGUGGCUCUUGAGGUCAUCAUGUAUAAGAGACAACAUGUAAACAUAAAUCCAAGACCAAAAUAUUUACUAUGAUAUCAUCAUGCAUUGAGUAUUACAGGAGGAAGGGCUUAUAGUCAGUUUGGGAGCAGGGAGUGGGAUAUGGAAAAAUUUAGGGAGUUCCUGUUGUGGCUUAGCUGUAAUGAACUGGCUAGUAUCCAUGAGGAUUCAGGUUCCAUCCCUGGCCCCGAUCAGUGGGUUAAGGAUCCAGCAUUGCUGUGAGCUGCAGUGUAGGUCACAGAUAUGGCUUGGAUCUGGAGUUGUGGUUGUGAUAUAGGCUGGCAGCUGCAGCUCUGAUUCGACCCCUAGCCUGGGAACUUCCAUAUGCUUUGGGUGCCACCCUAAAAAGCAAAAAAAAAAAAAAAAAA
ensembl:lncRNA